UACGUAGGGAGCGAGCGUUGUCCGGAUUCAUUGGGCGUAAAGAGCUCGUAGGCGGCUUGAUAAGUCGGAUGUGAAACCUCCAGGCUCAACCUGGAGUCGCCAUCCGAUACUGUCAUGGCUAGAGUCCGGUAGGGGCCCACGGAAUUCCUGGUGUAGCGGUGAAAUGCGCAGAUAUCAGGAGGAACACCGGUGGCGAAGGCGGUGGGCUGGGCCGGCACUGACGCUGUGGCGCGAAAGCUAGGGGAGCGAACGGG
rnacentral:rRNA from 1 species